rnacentral:rRNA from 1 species
GUAGGUGGCAAGCGUUGUCCGGAAUUAUUGGGCGUAAAGCGCGCGCAGGGCGGUCCUUUAAGUCUGAUGUGAAAGCCCACGGCUCAACCGUGGAGGGUCAUUGGAAACUGGGGGACUUGAGUACAGAAGAGGAAAGCGGAAUCCCAAGUGUAGCGGUGAAAUGCGUAGAGAUUUGGAGGAACACCAGUGGCGAAGGCGGCUUUCUGGUCUGUAACUGACGCUGAGGCGCGAAAGCGUGGGGAGCAAACAGGAUUAGAUACCCUGGUAGUCCACGCCGUAAACGAUGAGUGCUAAGUGUUAGGGGGUUUCCGCCCCUUAGUGCUGCAGCUAACGCAUUAAGCACUCCGCCUGGGGAGUACGGCCGCAAGGCUG